rnacentral:rRNA from 1 species
CCAAUAGCGUAUAUUAAAGUUGCUGCAGUUAAAAAGCUCGUAGUUGAAUUUCGGGACCAAUAUGUUGGUCGUGCUUUUGUACGUACUGAUAUAAUUGGUUUCUCCCUUCUGAAGAACCUUGAUGUCAUUAAUUUGGUGUCUUGGGGAAUCAGGACUGUUACUUUGAAAAAAUUAGAGUGUUUAAAGCAGGCUCGCGCUUGAAUACAUUAGCAUGGAAUAAUGAAAUAGGACGUUUGAUUCUAUUUUGUUGGUUUCUAGGAUCGACGUAAUGAUUAAUAGGGGUAGUUGGGGGCAUUAGUAUUCAAUUGUCAGAGGUGAAAUUCUUGGAUUUAUUGAAGACUAACUACUGCGAAAGCAUUUGCCAAGGAUGUUUUCAUUAAUCAAGAACGAAAGUUAGGGGAUCGAAGACGAUCAGAUACCGUCGUAGUCUUAACCAUAAACCAUGCCGACUAGGGAUCGGAUGAUGUUAAUUUUUUAAUGACUCAUUCGGCGCCUUACG